ensembl:lncRNA
GCUGGCGCCCUCUGCAGGACCGGCUCGGGCUCUCCGGAACGGUCAGCCCGGCCCCUGCGUGCCCAAACAGGACUCGGUCUCACUGCAGGUGCGGCUGGUGGCCUGUACAGGACCAGCUCAGGCUCGCCGGACCGGUCACCCGGACCCCUGCGUGCCCCCACCGGACUCGGCCUCCUCCGCAGCUGUGGCUGGAGCAUGCUGAAGGAGCCGGUCCUGGUCGCCGGACCGCUCAGACCGGCCCGUGCGGGCCCGCACAGCACUCGGUCACACUAAAGCCGCAGCUGGCUCCCUCUGCACGACCGGCUCGGGCCGCCAGACCGGUCAGACCGGCCCCUGGGGACCCCCACAACACUUGGUCACACUAAAGCCGCAGCUGGAGGCCUCUGCAGGACCGGCUCGGGCUUCCGACGGUCGCCCGCCCCUGCGUGCCCCACAGGACUCGGUCUCACUGCAGGUGCGGCUGGUGGCCUGUACAGGACCAGCUCAGGCUCGCCGGACUGGUCACCCGGACCCCUGCGUGCCCCCACCGGACUCGGCCUCCUCCGCAGCUGUGGCUGGAGCAUGCUGAAGGAGCCGGUCCUGGUCGCCGGACCGGUCAGACCGGCCCGUGCGGGCCCGCACAGCACUCGGUCACACUAAAGCCGCAGCGGGCUCCCUCUGCACGACCGGCUCGGGCUCGCCAGACCGGUCAGACCGGCCCCUGGGGACCCCCACAACACUUGGUCACACUAAAGCCGCAGCUGGAGGCCUCUGCAGGACCGGCUCGGGCUCUCCGGAACGGUCAGCCCGGCCCCUGCGUGCCCCCACCCGACUCGGCCUCCUCCGCAGCUGCGGCUGGAGCAUGCUGAAGGAGCCGGUCCCGGUCGCCGGACCGGUCGGAACGGCCCCUGCGGGCCCGCACAGCACUCGGUCACACUAAAGCCGCAGCUGGCGCCCUCUGCAGGACCGGCUCGGGCUCUCCGGAACGGUCAGCCCGGCCCCUGCGUGCCCAAACAGGACUCGGUCACACAGCAG